UAGAUAUUAAGAUUGACUGCUGGGUCCCAGCCCCUUUGAGCUGCGUUCUACAGGGAGGCUAAGCUAGUGGGGGCAAAGUUUCAGUGCAUUCCGUUGAUGUAGACGGCGUGAAAACGGAAACAACAAGUAUGCCGGCUCACUGUGCUGCAUACAAUUACACACUGCGUCGUACGAUUGAGACAAGGAAACUUGAAAUGACUUUUCAUAGUUUUCCCAGAGACUAUGGGUUGAGGAGGAAUUGGAAGUUUGUCGGCUUAGACCUGGUGUCAUUCCAUCAGUGUUAAAUUUCCCGGCUCAUCUUGGAAGAGUACGUGCCAGAAAGACCACGACCAAGCAGCCUUGAGAUCUUAGGCAGCGUCUCCCUGAGGUUCCUCUCUGUCUCCCCACACAUCCACCAACCACUGGAACACAUCUCCAAAGUUCUGCCGGGCCAGCUCAGCUUCCCCUCAGAAGUGCCGCCACCUGCCAGAUGAAGGAGCCUUUUGAGAGGCAGCUGGCAUCGUGAUUGGACUGUACUUUGGUCUGUUCCAAUCCAGCUUCAGCUCCAGAGACGGCAGGCGGGACGAGUCAACAGAGGCCCCACAGAGGGGGGAGGCCGCCACCCACCUCUCCGCCCUGACUCCACCUAGACUCCACCUCAGCUCCACCCAUGUGGUCACUUGGGGAACUACGAUGCCAAAGGGAUGACGAAAUUAUUUUUUUUUAUCUGAUCUGUAGCUCAGUGAGUUAAGGGUUUGCCUGUGGAGUUGCUGGUUCAAGACCAGACUCUUCUUAAAUUUUUAUCAAAAUCCUGACAAAAACAAACAAAGAAAAAGGCCAGUGGUGGGUCUUGAACCUGCAACCUUCCAGUUAGUAGUCUCUCUUCUUAUCCCCUGAGCUACUCACUCAGAUACCAAAUCUUCCCUUUUUUGUGCAUUGAUCAUCUAUUUUUUGUCGUUUUCGGGGGGUUUUUAACUCGGAUCUUGACUCGACCGUUUUUCUCAGGAGGUUGGACUUCAGCCUUUGUGCUGGAGGGUUGAACCCUCAGUUCCAAGACUUUCCAAAGCCUCCACACCUCCCGAGUCCUCAGGACCUGAGCUUUCACACAGUCUGAGGGCUGAAAUUUUCUAAGUCCCACAGUAGAUCUCUGUUAGAUUUAACUUUCAGACAGUCCAAGGACUGAUAUCUUCUAAGUUCCUGAGUAGUUCUCUGUUAGUUUGAACCUUUCGACAGUUUGAGGAGUGAAAUCUUAAAAGUUCCUGAGUAGUUCUCUGUUAGUUUGAGCUUUUAGACAGUUCAAGGACUGAAGUUUUAAAAGUUUCUCAAUACUUCUCUGUUAGUUUGAACUUUCUGGUUAACAGGAGCCUUAAAACUUGUGACCAUGAGUCUUGAUUUCACAUUUAGACCAUCCAUCUGAGUUCUUCUCAGACCUUCACCUGUGGGUUUUUUAGAAAUCCUGAACAAACUUUGAUUCUCUUCACUGAACAGUAAAGUUUGUGGAGAUCAGAAGGUAACAUUAGUUUGAUCAAUGCCUUCAACUACUAGUAGACUUUAUCUGGAAAGCAGUUUUCUGAAAUGAGUUCUUACUAAAUCUGUCCACAAUCAAACCAAGAACAUAGAAAGAGGAAAUGUUUGAAGAAACAACUUGAUGUUUUCAUUUCAGACUAGAAAACGCUUGAAGACCUUCAUCUGUUUUUGCUCUUUUUGAUCGUUUUAUUGUCUCUUCUGUUUAAUUUGAUCUUCUAAAGUCUAACUGGUGUCUUUUCAAAUGUUUUGUCUUUAGUUUGAUUCUUUUUAAAUGUUUAGUUUUGCUCUUUUCUCACCUUUUAUUUUUUUCUAAUGUCUGAUUUGAUUUCGAAAUGUUUUGUCUUUUUAAUGUUUAAUUGUUUUUUCAAAUGUUUUAUCGGCUUGUUUGAAAAAUUUCCUUUUUUCCCCAAUAUUUAAUUUUUUGAUUAAAUCUUUAAGGUUUUUCUUUUUAAAUGUUUUACCACCUUUUAAUGUUUAAUUUUCUUUUUAAGUGCUUCAUUGUAUUUUCUGUUUAAUU
ensembl:lncRNA